AUUGAACGCUGGCGGCAUGCCUUACACAUGCAAGUCGAACGGUAACGGGCCUUCGGGUGCCGACGAGUGGCGAACGGGUGCGUAAUACAUCGGAACGUGCCCGAUCGUGGGGGAUAACGAGGCGAAAGCUUUGCUAAUACCGCAUACGAUCUACGGAUGAAAGCAGGGGACCGCAAGGCCUUACGCGGACGGAGCGGCCGAUGGCAGAUUAGGUAGUUGGUGGGAUAAAAGCUUACCAAGCCGACGAUCUGUAGCUGGUCUGAGAGGAUGAUCAGCCACACUGGGACUGAGACACGGCCCAGACUCCUACGGGAGGCAGCAGUGGGGAAUUUUGGACAAUGGGCGCAAGCCUGAUCCAGCCAUGCCGCGUGCAGGAUGAAGGCCUUCGGGUUGUAAACUGCUUUUGUACGGAACGAAAAGCCUUCUUUUAAUACAGGAGGGUCAUGACGGUACCGUAAGAAUAAGCACCGGCUAACUACGUG
rnacentral:rRNA from 1 species